rnacentral:rRNA from 1 species
CGUAGGUGGCAAGCGUUGUCCGGAGUUACUGGGUGUAAAGGGCGUGUAGGCGGGAAGAUAAGUCAGAUGUGAAAUUCCAUGGCUCAACUGUGGCGCUGCAUCUGAAACUAUUUUUCUUGAGUGAUGGAGAGGGAAAGCGGAAUUCCUAGUGUAGCGGUGAAAUGCGUAGAUAUUAGGAGGAACACCAGUGGCGAAGGCGGCUUUCUGGACAUUAACUGACGCUGAGGCGCGAAAGCGUGGGGAGCAAACAGGAUUAGAUACCCUGGUAGUCCACGCUGUAAACGAUGGAUACUAGGUGUAGGAGGUAUCGACCCCUUCUGUGCCGGAGUUAACACAAUAAGUAUCCCACCUGGGGAGUACGGCCGCAAGGUUG